rnacentral:lncRNA from 1 species
GACCGCUAGCCCUGCCACGCUGAUGGCUCUUUCUGCCCGCGCCCCCGGGAAACGGUACGCCUGUCCCCGGCUGCUGGCCGGGCCUGCUCUUCCCCUGCGACAGCUCCGGGGCAUCUUUCCCAGGCCUUCGGUUCUCAGCGCAGAGCCUCUGCGCACCACCUGCCUGCACCCAGACCCGCACGCUGGACGCGUGUUAGCUGAGCAGAGUCCACGCAGGGGCCGCUGCUUGUGGGAAGGAAGAGAGCCAUCGCCCGCUCCGGGCCGAGAGGGCACCGUGUGGUUUUUGACGUGUUGGCAGUUGAACGCAGCACCUCUGACAUGUUAGAUCGCGGCUUUCCUGCUGAGCCCAUCAUCCCCUCUGUCCCUGAUCGCUCUGUGUGCGUGUGUUGUACUGAGGAUUGACGCCAAGCUUCACACUGAGCAACAGCCCCACCGGUUUGUUUUAGUUUUAAAUUUGAGACAGACGCUUGCUAAGUCACUAAAUUGCCCAGGUUGGGCUUGAACUUGAGAUCCUCCUGCCUCAGCCUUCCACUGUGGUAGGAUUAAAAACGUGUGCUACCACACUGGGCUGCCACUUGCAGACUUACUGUGGCAAGAACUCCUUCUUCUAAAGGAAAAGGCUGACAGGUGGAUUGUCAGGAGCAGUUCUCCAUAAUUCAGGGGAAAACUUGUGUCACGAUUAAAGUUGUGAUUAGGCCUAGUUUCCCUGCCCUCAGGCCAGCUACGGCAUGUCAAGACAGCUGUAUUUCCGUCUCCAGUCACAGCUAAAACCUCAGUGUUCCUGUGACGCUGUGAUGCUCCAGGACAGGACUACACCAGCUGAAGACGUCCUGGGGAGGAACAAAAUCUUCAUCUGUGUGGUUCCCCGUCGUUCUAGGAUUUCCUCUGCAGCUGCCCUCUGAGCUACCUAUCCCCUCCUUCCGAGCCACAUUUUUCACUCCCGAUGUACUGACCUCUGUCUGUUUUUCCUGGUGUGCUGAAUAAAAGUGUAGCAAGCUCAGGGUCUUUCGUGUUUUCUGCCCAGGGCAGCACUGACCAGGCCCAGAGCUCAGCUUCUUCUCUAGGUCUCAUUUUUCUAUCUUUCCUGUAUAAUAAGUUAAUUCACCUUGUGGUUCUAGUAACGGCCCCUUUCCUUGCUCCCCACAGUGGAUGUGGUGGCCUGCACCUGUCGUCCCCACUAUACAGGUAACUGAGGUGGGAGACCAUCGGAGCCUAGGGGUUCAAGGUUAAGUUCGGGCAACACAGUUAAACCGCAUCUCAAAGACAGAAACAAAAC